ACGUAGGGUGCGAGCGUUAAUCGGAAUUACUGGGCGUAAAGCGUGCGCAGGCGGUUCGCCAAGUCAGGUGUGAAAUCCCCGGGCUCAACCUGGGAACUGCAUUUGUGACUGCAUCGCUGGAGUGCGGCAGAGGGGGAUGGAAUUCCGCGUGUAGCAGUGAAAUGCGUAGAUAUGCGGAGGAACACCGAUGGCGAAGGCAAUCCCCUGGGCCUGCACUGACGCUCAUGCACGAAAGCGUGGGGAGCAAACAGGA
rnacentral:rRNA from 1 species